AAAUAUGACUCCCUACUGUAGUUUUAACGCAAAUUACUCUGUCCCGCAGCACUCAAACCUAUACCAGUUUUAUUAACCCCUCGCAGUUGGUUUAGCCUGUUUUGAACUCGCAAAUAGUUGUCAACCAUUAAGUACCCGAAGUUAUGCAUAUCUGACUGAAUGUCUCGAAAUAAGCUAUGAUGAACAUAUACUAGCUGUUACUAAUCUAUGUUAAACAUGACUCCAUCUCCUAACUAAAAAAUGUGCAAGUACCAAUGUAUACUCCAUUGUUAUUAAUGUUUGCAAAGCAU